rnacentral:rRNA from 1 species
GACGUAGGGCGCGAGCGUUUGUCCGGAUUUAUUGGGCGUAAAGAGCUCGUAGGCGGCUUGUCGCGUCGGCUGUGAAAACCCGCGGCUCAACUGUGGGCGGGCAGCUGAUACGGGCAGGCUGGAGUUCGGUAGGGGAGACUGGAAUUCCUGGUGUAGCAGUGAAAUGCGUAGAUAUCAGGAGGAACACCUAUGGCGAAGGCAGCUCGCUGGGACGGUACUGACGCUGAGGCGCGAAAGCGUGGGGGAGCGAACAGG